CGAAUGCUGACAUAAGUAACGAUAAAGCGGGUGAAAAGCCCGCUCGCCGGAAGACCAAGGGUUCCUGUCCAACGUUAAUCGGGGCAGGGUGAGUCGACCCCUAAGGCGAGGCCGAAAGGCGUAGUCGAUGGGAAACAGGUUAAUAUUCCUGUACUUGGUGUUACUGCGAAGGGGGGACGGAGAAGGCUAUGUUGGCCGGGCGACGGUUGUCCCGGUUUAAGCGUGUAGGCUGGUUUUCCAGGCAAAUCCGGAAAAUCAAGGCUGAGGCGUGAUGACGAGGCACUACGGUGCUGAAGCAACAAAUGCCCUGCUUCCAGGAAAAGCCUCUAAGCAUCAGGUAACAUCAAAUCGUACCCCAAACCGACACAGGUGGUCAGGUAGAGAAUACCAAGGCGCUUGAGAGAACUCGGGUGAAGGAACUAGGCAAAAUGGUGCCGUAACUUCGGGAGAAGGCACGCUGAUAUGUAGGUGAAGCGACUUGCUCGUGGAGCUGAAAUCAGUCGAAGAUACCAGCUGGCUGCAACUGUUUAUUAAAAACACAGCACUGUGCAAACACGAAAGUGGACGUAUACGGUGUGACGCCUGCCCGGUGCCGGAAGGUUAAUUGAUGGGGUUAGCGGUAA
rnacentral:rRNA from 1 species